AAUCUACCCUCUAACCUAACAUUUAACCUAAGUUUCUAGUCUAAUUCACAAACCCAUUUGGCCAACUACUAUAAUUUAAAAUUUCAUUACCUGGAUGAGCUUGAAGGCAUGAAGAUCAACAAAAACCUAAUCUUUCCAAGAAAAAUAAUUUGAAGAAAUUAAGGAAUAAAUCUGAAAAUAUAACCAUAAAUUCAAAAAUUUCAAAAGUUGGAAAUAUAUAUACCUUUCAACCUUGAAAAUGAAGAUUUGAAACCAAAAAUCCAAGUGUUGUUGAAAGUGAAGUAGAAAUAGAAAGUAUAAGAAACAAGGAGAGAUUUUUAUUUCUCUUUCUUAGGGUUUAGAUGUGCUGGAAAUUGGGGUUAGAAGCUGCAAAUUCAGCGCCUAAGAAGUUAGGAGAAUGAAGAAUUAGGAAAAGAAAAGAAAUGAAAAGAAAACAAGGAAAAAUCCCGUGAAAAAUUUGAUUUUCAUGAAGGUGGAAUGAAAAUGGC
rnacentral:lncRNA from 1 species